UAGUCCACGCAGUAAACGAUGAUCACUAGGUGUUAGAGUGGGGCUUGCCCUGUUCUAGUGUCGAAGCUAACGCGUUAAGUGAUCCGCCUGAGUAGUACGGUCGCAAGACUAAAAUUCAAAGGAAUUGACGGGGGCCCGCACAAGCGGUGGAACAUGUGGUUUAAUUCGAUAAUACGCGAGAAACCUUACCUGGGCUUGACAUACAUAUGCCUGACUAUGAAAGUAGUUUUCUCAAGCUUGCUUGAGCAUUUGAACAGGUGCUGCAUGGCUGUCGUCAGCUCGUGUCGUGAGAUGUUAGGUUAAGUCCUUUAACGAGCGAAACCCUUGUCGUUAGUUGCUAGCACUUAAUGUGCAGGACUCUAGCGAGACUGCCUGAGAAAUCAGGAGGAAGGUGGGGAUGACGUCAAGUCCUCAUGGCCCUUAUGUCCAGGGCUACACACGUGUUACAAUGGGUAGUACAAAGAGAAGCUAAGCCGAAAGGUGGCGCCAAUCUAAAAAGCUA
rnacentral:rRNA from 1 species